UAAGGUGGCGAUGGCGGCGGGGUUCCGCUCCUUCCCAUGCCGAACAGGGUUGCUAAGCCCGCCAGCGCCGAUGGUACUGCGAAAGCGGGAGAGUAGGUCGCCGCCUAAC
rnacentral:rRNA from 1 species